rnacentral:rRNA from 1 species
CGAGAAAGCCCGCAAGGGUGAGUAAAGCGGCGUACGGGUGCGUAACAUGUGGGUAAUCUGCCCUAGAGUCCGGAAUAACUCGCCGAAAGGCGUGCUAAUGCCGGAUGAGACUACGGGAGCCUCGGCUCCUGCGGGAAAAGGUGGCCUCUGUAUACAAGCUAUCGCUCUAGGAUGAGCCCGCGGCCCAUCAGCUAGUUGGCGGGGUAAUGGCCCACCAAGGCUACGACGGGUAGCUGGUCUGAGAGGACGAUCAGCCACACUGGAACUGAGACACGGUCCAGACUCCUACGGGAGGCAGCAGUGGGGAAUCUUGCGCAAUGGGCGAAAGCCUGACGCAGCAACGCCGCGUGUGUGAUGAAGGUCUUCGGAUCGUAAAGCACUGUCGCGAGGGACG